GCAUCCGUAGCUCAGCUGGAUAGAGUACUCGGCUACGAACCGAGUGGUCAGAGGUUCGAAUCCUCUCGGAUGCACCA
rnacentral:tRNA from 3 species